GGUAACCAUUAAUUAUUGUCACCUGCUGACGAUUCUACCGAACCACCUUGUUAAAUUACGGAGGCGCUAUUGGGCUGAUACUGACCAGGGCGGCCUAGUGGACCAGCUCCAGAACACCGGUACGAGCACAGACAGUUUGGAGUCCAUGCAACUGACCAGGUAUAAGGAAAUCCUGGACUUGUUGGGGAAUUUAGGUUCCAAACACCCGCAGGAGGCAGAACAUGUGUUUGAGGAGCCACUUCAGUGGAACACCACUUUAGCGAAAUCUGAUUUCAAAGAAGACAUCAGAAAAUAGAGACCUCAUGGUUAAGAUUGUUGGUCAGAGGAAGACCUCUCAGCUCUGGAGUUAGACGUCAGAGUCAAGCUGUUUAUCCUGCUCAAAAACACUGAUGAAAAGAUCCUCAACAAGUUUGUUGGAGAAAUAGCAAAACAAGUCAAGCUUUUACCCACCGCAGUGGAGGAGGAAGUGGGGUUCUUGAGACAAUACUGCACUGAAGGAGGGAAGAGGCUGCUGAAGUCAGUGAGAUACACAUCAGUAUUUUGUAGAACAGAAACCUCGUAGGAGUAUUCAUCUUGCACACGUGRUUUAUGAAAAAGAACAAGCCCAACCUAAAACACCUGAAGAACGAGAGUGGGAGAAUCUACAGCGAGCUCUGUACGGCAGGAAGAAACGUGAACCAUGUCAGAGAUGGAGGAAUCUUGGUGUGCUGACUAUAUGUGGUGCAGCCGAGAAAGAGGAGCUCUUGAUGACCUCUGCAGAGAGGAAACGACUGGGAUCCAAAACCAAGACCAUGAUGAAGGGUGGACUUUGCAUCAUCUUCACCUGGACUCACAACAUUCCUG